AGUGUAGGAUACACUAAACACUAAACACACUUAACACAGCCAGUAAAUGUCUUGAAGAAAUGUCAUUAUAAUUGUUUACCUUAAUUUUAGAGUUGCACUAAAAAUUCAUAGUGGAAAAAAAGGUGAAUUUAAGAUUGAAUUGUUAAGAUUUUAUGAUUUUCUUUUCUUUUUGUAGUCCUUUCCCACCCCUAAUUUAUUUGUGGGAUGAUAAAAAGACAUUUUAGAUGAUGUUAAGAAUCUAAAAGUCUGAACCACAUUACUUUUAUAUUGAAUAUUAAAAAUUCAUUUGAGAGGUAUACAUUGCAUGUAGGCAUUAUGCAUGUUGUACACCGACAACAUCAAAUAUAGUAUUAUUUUACAUUAUUUCUAUUAUGCACUGUUUAUGCAAACGAUUGUUUUUGUUAUAUCAAGAAUCUAGUCAAUUUUUUAGCGAUUAUUUGAGCACAUUUUAUAUUGAUUUUGUCAAUGUUCAAGUCCUGCCAAUUCAGAGUUGCCAAAGUCUGUAUAUUUAAUACUUAGGUAGAUAGACUGUGAUAAUGCUGCUGAUGAACCUAGUAACCUCAGUCCUGCCCGAGAACCAACCCGAGUUCUAUCCUAGUUAUGUGUCAGUAGUCCCUAUAACCCACCAGAAUCUCUUUGUAGUAUGCAAUUGUCUUAAUAAUAUUAUUAUUUCAUUGUUCAUCAAAGUAUUAAUAAACAAUUGCCAUCUUGUCAAAUAUUUACAACAUUUUAACCAUGCAUUAACGAAGAAAAAAAAUGCUUGUAGAUUUUGAAUUUUUCCUCCAGAGAUUCAAUUUUGCAACAACUGUGUUCAAGCAUAUUUGCUACUACAGCCUUAAUUCUGCUGUCCCUAUUCUAUCCCACGGACUAGAAUUUUUCUAGAACAUGUACAUCUAGUUAUCUGUUGUGUAUAGUUACCAGCCAUUUUGUUGGUUCACUAAACCAUGUAGAGGGUGAAAGUGUGAGUAGCUGUCUUUUUUGGUCCUCAUCUGGAUUUUUUGUUCACAUAGGGCACAUCACCUUACUUUGAAGUUUUUCAUAGAUUUUAUUCACCUGUUCAGUAUUGGGUAGACAUAAAUUAUAUAUGUGCAAUAGGCGAAUACAAUGAAUUUGUUAUCAUUUUAUGCAUAAUUUAUACAGACCACUUUUUUUGUAUCAGUAUUAGGUUUAGAAUAAAGUUCUUGUAUACC
rnacentral:sRNA from 1 species